rnacentral:lncRNA from 1 species
CCAAUUUGAAAAUAAAAAUAUGAUUGUAGGUUUAGAAAUACUGAUUUUGAGAUGUUUUUGAUAAAUCCAAAAAGGUUUCAUUAGCAGUUGAACAUAAAGGCCUAGGUAGUAGAUGAGAGAUAGAGAUAAAUACACAUUGAGAAUUGUUUUCUUUUAAGGGGUAAUUGAAGAAGUGGGCAUGGGAAAAAACACAUGGUAACAAAGAAAAGAGGAAAGCUAGAAAUAAGUCUUAGAAAACUGUAACAUUAAUGGUAAGAUAUGAGGCUACAAAUAUAUUGGAAUUUUAAAUAAAUCUUAAGUUUUCAAACUUUUAAAUUUUAAUACAGGAUGUAGGACUGCUGUGUAUGGACAUCUUUGCAAAACACCAUUGCUACAGAAAGGGUUGAUAUAAUGUCUGGUUUGGAUCUCCUUGCUUCAUUCUUCAAGAGUCAUGACUCCAGGAAGGCUUUGAGAUUGCCGAAGCCACAGUGUGUAGGAUCUCCUGGGAAAAGGCAGCCCAAUCCUUGAAGAAAACAUCUAGACCUUUCCUUCCUGGACAAGAACCUGAAGUGACAAUAAUUCUCUUCACUAUUCAUGUUCUGAACACCAAAAUGCAAUGGCACAAAUACUGGAAUAAAGGAAUACGGGAAACAUUUCUUUGCUUUUAGAAAAUAAGUUCUGAAACACACACACACACAAAACAGAAUUUAAUGUGGUGAGUAGAACAACUGCUAAACUUUUGGUUUUGUUGCUAGAAGCAUAGUGCCCAGAGACAGCAGUUCCGGUCUUG